rnacentral:rRNA from 1 species
CCAGGUGAAGCGGUGAAAUGACGUAGAGAUCUGGAGGAAUACCGGUGGCGAAGGCGGCCCCCUGGACAAAGACUGACGCUCAGGUGCGAAAGCGUGGGGAGCAAACAGGAUUAGAUACCCUGGUAGUCCACGCCGUAAACGAUGUCGACUCGGAGGUUGUGCCCGGAGAGGCGUGGCUCUCCGGAGAUAACGCGUUAAGUCGACCUCGUGGGGAGUACGCCCGCAAGGUUAAAACUCAAAUGAAUUGACGGGGCCCCGCACAAGCGGUGGAGCAUGUGGUUUAAUUUGAUGCAACGCGGAAGAACCUUACCUACUCUUGACAUCCAGAGAACUUAGCAGAGAUGCUUUGGUGCCUUCGGGAACUUUGAGACAGGUGCUGCAUGGCCGU